rnacentral:tRNA from 1 species
AGCUCAGCUGGAUAGAGUGUCGCCCUCCGAAGGCGAAGGUCACAGGUUCGAAUCCUGUC